GAUGAACGCUGGCGGCGUGCCUAAUACAUGCAAGUCGAGCGAACAGACGAGGAGCUUGCUCCUCUGACGUUAGCGGCUGACGGGUGAGUAACACGUGGAUAACCUACCUAUAAGACUGGGAUAACUUCGGGAAACCGGAGCUAAUACCGGAUAAUAUAUUGAACCGCAUGGUUCAAUAGUUAAAGACGGUUUUGCUGUCACUUAUAGAUGGAUCCGCGCCGCAUUAGCUAGUUGGUAAGGUAACGGCUUACCAAGGCAACGAUGCGUAGCCGACCUGAGAGGGUGAUCGGCCACACUGGAACUGAGACACGGUCCAGACUCCUACGGGAGGCAGCAGUAGGGAAUCUUCCGCAAUGGGCGAAAGCUUGACGGAGCAACGCCGCGUGAGUGAUGAAGGUCUUCGGAUCGUAAAACUCUGUUAUUAGGGAAGAACAAAUGUGUAAGUAACUAUGCACGUCUUGACGGUACCUAAUCAGAAAGCAACGGCUAACUACGUG
rnacentral:rRNA from 1 species